CCUACGGGUGGCAGCAGUGGGGGAUAUUGCACAAUGGGGGAAACCCUGAUGCAGCGACGCCGCGUGAGUGAAGAAGUAUUUCGGUAUGUAAAGCUCUAUCAGCAGGGAAGAAAAUGACAGUACCUGACCCAGAAGCCCCGGCUAAAUACGUGCCAGCAGCCGCGGUAAUAAGUAGGGGGCAGGCGUUAUCCGGAUUUACUGGGUGUAAAGGGGGCGUAGACGGGUAUGUAAGUCUGGAGUGAAAGCCAGGGGCCCAACCCCGAGACUGCAUUGGAAACUGUGUAACUGGAGUACAGGUGGGGCAGGCGGAAUUCCUGGUGUAGCGGUGAAAUGCGUAGAUAUCAGGAGGAACACCGGCGGCGAAGGCAGCCUGCUGAACUGAAACUGACGUUGAGGCUCGAAAGCGUGGGGAGCAAACAGGAUUAGAUACCCGUGUAGUC
rnacentral:rRNA from 1 species